UACGUAGGGGGCUAGCGUUGUCCGGAAUCAUUGGGCGUAAAGAGCGUGUAGGCGGUCCGGUAAGUCCGCUGUGAAAGUCGGGGGCUCAACCCUCGAAUGCCGGUGGAUACUGUCGGGCUAGAGUGCGGAAGAGGCGAGUGGAAUUCCUGGUGUAGCGGUGAAAUGCGCAGAUAUCAGGAGGAACACCGGUGGCGAAGGCGGCAUCCUGGACCGGCAUUGACGCUGAGGCGCGAAGGCCAGGGGAGCAAACGGG
rnacentral:rRNA from 1 species